rnacentral:tRNA from 1 species
UAGGACUUAGGUUAUAAACCUAUUAACCUUUAAGGUUAUAAAGAAAAUAGUACUAAUAUUUUAGGCCUUA